ensembl:miRNA
ACGAGCUCCGAGGCACUGCCCCAGUUCUCCAGCGCAAACCUCACGCAGGCGGAGCUUGGUGAGCCCCUGCUGGAAGUGGUGCUGGAGGCUGGAGACCUGCUAUACUUUC